AACAACAUUCAGUCAAAAGCCCAACGUGUUCAGAGGAGAAGAAUCGAAGAGAAGGAGAUCUGUAAUAAUUGAAACUCACCCAUGAUUGAAUCAGAGAAAUAAUUGAAGGAUACGGAACCAUUACAAAUUUUGGUACAGAGCAAUGGGCAUUGGGAUGACAACAACUCAGCACAGGCAGAUUUGCAGCAAUCUGGAAACAACCCGGCAACAACUUCCAAGCAACAACUAUCUGCGCACACAAUUGUAUCAGUUCAAGACGAUACAUUUUUUCUAGGAACAGGGACCGUGACAUCAUAAUCAACCAUACAACAACCAGAAAACAACAAAGAAAAAACUACAGCAAUAGAUGAAUAUAAAAACAACUAAAAAAAAACUCAAUAACAACACAAAAAUAACAUCAAUAAAAAUACAUAAAAGAAAUACAAAAAGAAUGACAGAAUACAUUAGAUUUUUUUUUUUUCCUUUUCGGCACAAUGAAGCUUCUAAAGACAUAAAUAAAUUAAAAGGAUUCAUAUAUAAAUAGACUGCUACUACCUUUGAUGGAGAAGAGGAUUCAGUUUUUUUUUGGAGGCUAG